UACGAAGGGGACUAGCGUUGUUCGGAAUUACUGGGCGUAAAGCGCGCGUAGGCGGAUCGCUAAGUCAGGGGUGAAAUCCCAGGGCUCAACCCUGGAACUGCCUUUGAUACUGAGGAUCUUGAGUUCGGGAGAGGUGAGUGGAACUGCGAGUGUAGAGGUGAAAUUCGUAGAUAUUAGGAAGAACACCAGUGGCGAAGGCGGCUCACUGGUCCGGUACUGACGCUGAGGUGCGAAAGCGUGGGGAGCAAACAGG
rnacentral:rRNA from 1 species